GCCGACGUAGCUCAGUUGGUAGAGCAAUGCUUUCGUAAAGCAGAGGUCGUGGGUUCAAAUCCCAUCGUCGGCUCCA
rnacentral:tRNA from 1 species